GGGGCAGAGGGAAGAGGCACUUUCCAGCAGCAAGUCCUGUUCCUGCCAAGAGGCCUAAACCAUUGGAUGUGGCUUUCUAUUUGUUGCCAAAGCAAUGUGAAAAAACCCCAAAAGAGCAGGAGCAAUUAGUCCAUAUGCGUGCAGGACUGGGCCGUAGGACUGCUCAUCAAGAUGAAAGCACAACACAUGAAGAGUUAUGUGAUGCCCUCAAAGUUUUAUUCCCAAAAUUAGGAACAAUUACCGGUGGAUGGCUACUAUACAAAUCUUCAGGUGGAUGGGGUAGCCGACAGCUGUCUCUUGUGACUCCCGAUGAUACCGGCUAUACAGGCAUGAUGUUGAAGUCUGUAACUCGUGGGGCUAAAAAUCUAUUCAUUGCCCCAAUUCAAGAGGAACUAAGUACAAAUCCCCUACCAUUGACUGAUGAAGCAUUCAGUAACAUGCCAAAAGCUGCAUGUCAGAAGUGUGAAGUUGCAGUUCCCCUUCCGCUCCUGACAGAACACAUCAAAUCUUGUAACGUCAUAGAUGUUGACAGUGACGACAACCUGGCUAAUGUGGAUAUCAGUGAGCCUGAAGAGAGAGACUCAGACAUGCAGGAAUGUCCUGUCUGCAAAAAUAUGUUUCCUGCUGACUCCAUCGAGGUACAUGCUUCGUCAUGUGUGGAAAGGCUGGUUAACUGUCAGUGACCCCACCAAGGCCACAUCUCAGUGUGCUGACAGUUUUCGACGUAUUCAUGAAACAAAGAGUCCCUUACUUCUCAGCAUGGACAUCAGAAAAAGCCCUGCUGAGCAGGACAUGGCACUUGUCUCCUUCUAUAAACAACCUAAUGUGGAAUGGGGACGACCCCUGAAUUGCAGACUUGAAGGAGAUACUGCUAUUGGACAUGGUGUAACUCGUUUUUUUUUCUCCACAUGCAUGGAGAAGCUGAGGUCAGGCUUUUGCAUCAAUUUUGGUAUGUAUGUAAUAGAAUCCUUCCAAAUGCAAGCUGUAUUACCUUUUUUUUAAUUAUUCUGUCCAUAAAGGUUUAUGGUAUUUUGCUUUAUCCUGAAAGUUCAAAGGGUUCUUCUAAAUGUAUAAUGCCUGUAUUGAUAAUAUCUCUGACUCUGGAAUGAGGCCUAUUUCUUUGUUGUUCUUAAUUCAAAUUUUUGAUAUCUUGACAGCAAAUUCAAGUCUUACUGGGCUUUUUGAAGGACAGCCGGGCCAUUUAGUUCCCUCAGCCUCUCACUUUCUUGUGGAAAGUGACAUGUUCAUGGUGGCGGGUUGAAUGAUAGGCCUCUCCUUUCUUCAUGGAGGACCACGCCUACAGGGACUCAGCCCUGCUGUUAUUCAUGUCUUGUUUGGUGGAAGUCCUGACACUGCAACAGUGACACUGGAGGACUGUCCAGAUCUGGACAUUAGAGAAACCAUCAGGAUUGUAUGUUUGAUUAAAAAAAAGUUUUUUCUUUCAGUAAUAUGUUAAGUACAAUGGGCCGCCCUUUUAUUGUGUAUCCAUUGUCCCUUAUGAAUGAAAUUUAUAUGACUUAUUGUCUUGAAGCUUGAAGGGGGAUCCAUACUGUCCGAUAAGGAUAAACAAAGUGUCCAGGACUUGGCCUAUGCGUGGGACCUCCCUUCCCUAACUGACAACAACAGGAGGUGGCUGUUUGAAAAGCUGUUGAUACAUGCAGUACUAGGUCGUGUUAUGAGGCAAAUUAAGCAGCUGAGACGAGGCAUUAAAGAAACCCCAAUGUGGACACUGGUGACCCAAAGACCUGACACAGUGGCCUUGCUUUUUCCUAAAGACACGGCAGGGAAUGUCAGCGCUGAGGUCCUUCUUCAGCGUAUCACAUGGCCUCCUGAGGGUGGCAGCGAUGAUGACGAUUGUUCAGUUGAAACAACAUGCCGCAUGUCAGGGUAUCUAAGACAGUUCAUAGGUGAAGCAACACCAACUGAACUGACCAACCUGGUCAAAUUCUGGACCGGAUGGGAGGUUCUACCACCAAGUCUCUCUGUCGAAGUCGUCGAGAGCAGAUACCUCACAGCCUCCACCUGCUUUGAGACCUUGAGCAUCCCAGGGCAUUACAAGAACUACACAUCUUUUAAACGUGACAUCCUGGCAUGCAUUAGCACUUGCCAUACAGGAUUUGGUCUUGUCUGAGUGGCAUCUGGACCUGUACACAUGUCAGAUAAGAUUGUUAAAGUAAUUUGUUGAUGUUUUAUGCUUGUUAGCUGUCAAGUGUUCAGGUUCAUCUGACAGUAUGGAGUUGUUGUAUUUGUAGAACUGUAACUUCAACUGUAACACACAUAUUUCAGACCAUGUACUGGAGAUUCCUUGCUGUCCUUACUCUGGUUUGACACACCUGAUGUUGAAAAUAUUCAAGUUGUUAAAAGGUGGACUUAUACUUAUUUUAUUUUCAGUGUUACACAGUUGCAAUUUCUUCGCAUCGUUACAAAACAUCUCAAGCUCAGUUUUCAUAGAAAAAUGUAAAGUAUUUAGUCUUGUCUGAGUGACAUCUCAACCUGUAUUUACACUUGUCAGUUAAGAUUGUUUAGGUAAAAUGUUGAUGUUUUUAUGCUUGUUAGCUGUCAAGUGUUGAGAUUCAUCUGACAGUAUGGAGUUGUUGUAUUUGUAGAACUGUAACCCGCAGAUUUCAGACCAUGUGGGAGAUUCCUUGCCAUCCUUACUCUGGUUCGACACAUCUGAUGUUGUAAAAAAUAUUCAAGUUGUCAAGGUGGACUUACACUGAUUUUAUUUUCACAAUUUUGUGCUUUGCUACAUUACAUUGUUAUUAUUACAUUACAUUACAUCUCAACCUCAGUUUUCAUAAGAAAAUGCGGUAUGUUAAGUUACAUGCAUUUUAUGAUUGACAGCUUAAUGUAUUCCUUGUAACAAUUUCUGCGCUUUAAUAAACCAUUAAUGCAAGAGUUUAAAGUGCA